UACAGAGGUGGCAAGCGUUGUUCGGAAUUACUGGGCGUAAAGGGCGCGUAGGCGGUCUUGUAAGUCUUGUGUGAAAUCCCUCGGCUUAACUGAGGAACUGCACGGGAUACUGCGAGACUUGAGUUCGGGAGAGGGAAGCGGAAUUCCGGGUGUAGCGGUGAAAUGCGUAGAUAUCCGGAGGAACACCGGUGGCGAAGGCGGCUUCCUGGACCGAC
rnacentral:rRNA from 1 species